rnacentral:rRNA from 1 species
CACGUAGGGUGCGAGCGUUGUCCGGAAUUAUUGGGCGUAAAGAGCUCGUAGGCGGUGUGUCGCGUCGGCCGUGAAAACCUGCAGCUUAACUGUGGGCUUGCGGUCGAUACGGGCAUCACUGGAGUUCGGCAGGGGAGACUGGAAUUCCUGGUGUAGCGGUGAAAUGCGCAGAUAAUCGGGAAGAACACCCGUGGCGAAGGCGGCUACUCUCGGAACGCAACUGACGCUGAGACGCGGAAAGCGUGGGGAGCAACAGG